rnacentral:rRNA from 1 species
GAUGAACGCUGGCGGCGUGCCUAAUACAUGCAAGUCGAGCGAACGGACGAGAAGCUUGCUUCUCUGAUGUUAGCGGCGGACGGGUGAGUAACACGUGGAUAACCUACCUAUAAGACUGGGAUAACUUCGGGAAACCGUAGCUAAUACCGGAUAAUAUUUUGAACCGCAUGGUUCAAAAGUGAAAGACGGUCUUGCUGUCACUUAUAGAUGGAUCCGCGCUGCAUUAGCUAGUUGGUAAGGUAACGGCUUACCAAGGCAACGAUGCAUAGCCGACCUGAGAGGGUGAUCGCCCACACUGGAACUGAAACACGAUCCAGACUCCUACGGGAGGCAGCAGUAGGGAAUCUUCCGCAAUGGGCGAAAGCCUGACGGAGCAACGCCGCGUGAGUGAUGAAGGUCUUCGGAUCGUAAAACUCUGUUAUUAGGGAAGAACAUAUGUGUAAGUAACUGUGCACAUCUUGACGGUACCUAAUCAGAAAGCCACGGCUAACUACGUG